AGCGGCGGACGGGUGAGUAACGCGUGAGCAAUCUGUCCUGUCCAGGGGGAUAACAACUGGAAACAGUUGCUAAUACCGCAUGAGACCACAAUGUCGCAUGGCAAAGGGGUCAAAGGAGAAAUCCGGUAUAGGGUGAGCUCGCGUCCGAUUAGAUAGUUGGUGAGGUAACGGCCCACCAAGUCAACGAUCGGUAGCCGACCUGAGAGGGCGAUCGGCCACAUUGGAACUGAGACACGGUCCAAACUCCUACGGGAGGCAGCAGUGGGGAAUAUUGGGCAAUGGGCGAAAGCCUGACCCAGCAACGCCGCGUGAGGGAAGAAGGUUUUCGGAUUGUAAACCUCUGUCCUUGGUGACGAAGGAAGUGACGGUAGCCAAGGAGGAAGCCCCGGCUAACUACGUGCCAGUAGCCGCGGUAAUACGUAGGUGGCAAGCGUUGUCCGGAUUUACUGGGUGUAAAGGGCGUGUAGCCGGGAAGGCAAGUCAGAUGUGAAAUCCACGGGCUCAACUCGUGAACUGCAUUUGAAACUGUCUUUCUUGAGUAUCGGAGAGGUAAUCGGAAUUCCUAGUGUAGCGGUGAAAUGCGUAGAUAUUAGGAAGAACACCAGUGGCGAAGGCGGAUUACUGGACGACAACUGACGGUGAGGCGCGAAAGCGUGGGGAGCAAACAGGAUUAGAUACCCUGGUAGUCCACGCUGUAAACGAUCAAUACUAGGUGUGCGGGGACUGACCCCCUGCGUGCCGCAGUUAACACAAUAAGUAUUGCACCUGGGGAGUACGAUCGCAAGGUUGAAACUCAAAGGAAUUGACGGGGGCCCGCACAAGCGGUGGAUUAUGUGGUUUAAUUCGAAGCAACGCGAAGAACCUUACCAGGGCUUGACAUGGGGAUGACCGGACUAGAGAUAGUCCUUCUCUUCGGAGCAUCCCACACAGGUGGUGCAUGGUUGUCGUCAGCUCGUGUCGUGAGAUGUUGGGUUAAGUCCCGCAACGAGCGCAACCCCUAUUGUUAGUUGCUACGCAAGAGCACUCUAGCGAGACUGCCGUUGACAAAACGGAGGAAGGUGGGGACGACGUCAAAUCAUCAUGCCCCUUAUGUCCUGGGCUACACACGUAAUACAAUGGCGGCCAACAGAGGGAUGCAAAACCGCGAGGUGGAGCGAACCCCCAAACGCCGUCUCAGUUCGGAUUGUAGGCUGCAACUCGCCUGCAUGAAGUCGGAAUCGCUAGUAAUCGCGGAUCAGCAUGCCGCGGUGAAU
rnacentral:rRNA from 1 species